GAUGAACGCUAGCGGCAGGCUUAAUACAUGCAAGUCGAGGGACAGCACAGGUAGCAAUACUGGGUGGUAACCGGCAAACGGGUGCGGAACACGUACACAACCUUCCUUUAAGUGGGGGAUAGCCCAGAGAAAUUUGGAUUAAUACCCCGUAAUAUAGUUGAAUGGCAUCAUUUGAUUAUUAUAGCUACGGCGCUUAAUGAUGGGUGUGCGGCUGAUUAGAUAGUUGGCGGGGUAACGGCCCACCAAGUCUACGAUCAGUAGCUGAUGUGAGAGCAUGAUAAGCCACACGGGCACUGGGACACGGGCCCGACUCCUACGGGAGGCAGCAGUAAGGAAUAUUGGUCAAUGGACGCAAGUCUGAACCAGCCAUGCCGCGUGAAGGAUUAAGGUCCUCUGGAUUGUAAACUUCUUUUAUUUGGGACGAAAAAGGGCCUUCUAGGUCAACUGACGGUACCAGAUGAAUAAGCACCGGCUAACUCCGUGCCAGCCGCCGCCGUAACAC
rnacentral:rRNA from 1 species